rnacentral:rRNA from 1 species
UACGGAGGGGGUUAGCGUUGUUCGGAAUUAUUGGGCGUAAAGCGUGCGUAGGCGGACUGUUAAGUCUGGUGUGAAAUCCCUCGGCUCAACCGAGGACGUGCAUUGGAUACUGGCAGUCUUGAGUCCUGGAGAGGAGAGCGGAAUUCCUAGUGUAGAGGUGAAAUUCGUAGAUAUUAGGAGGAACACCAGUGGCGAAAGCGGCUCUCUGGACAGUGACUGACGCUGAGGCACGAAAGCAUAGGUAGCAAACAGG